rnacentral:rRNA from 1 species
UGGAAUUUCCUGUGUAGCGGUGAAAUGCGUAGAUAUAUGAAGGAACACCAGUGGCGAAGGCGACCCCCUGGACUGAUACUGACACUGAGGAGCGAAAGCGUGGGGAGCGAACAGGAUUAGAUACCCUGGUAGUCCACGCCGUAAACGAUGUCUACUAGGCGUUGGAAUCCUUGAGAUUUUAAUGGCGCAACUAACGCAUUAAGUUGACCGCCUGGGAAGUACCGCCGCCAGGAUAAAACUUCUAUGAAUUGACCGGGGCCCCCACAAGCGGUGGAGCAUGUGGUUUAAU